rnacentral:rRNA from 1 species
CCUACGGGAGGCAGCAGUAGGGAAUCUUGCGCAAUGGGCGAAAGCCUGACGCAGCCAUGCCGCGUGAAUGAUGAAGGUCUUAGGAUUGUAAAAUUCUUUCACCGGGGACGAUAAUGACGGUACCCGGAGAAGAAGCCCCGGCUAACUUCGUGCCAGCAGCCGCGGUAAUACGAAGGGGGCUAGCGUUGCUCGGAAUUACUGGGCGUAAAGGGAGCGUAGGCGGAUAGUUUAGUCAGAGGUGAAAGCCCAGGGCUCAACCUUGGAACUGCCUUUGAUACUGGCUAUCUUGAGUAUGGGAGAGGUGAGUGGAACUCCGAGUGUAGAGGUGAAAUUCGUAGAUAUUCGGAAGAACACCAGUGGCGAAGGCGACUCACUGGCCCAUUACUGACGCUGAGGCUCGAAAGCGUGGGGAGCAAACAGGAUUAGAUACCCUGGUAGUCCACGCCGUAAACGAUGAGUGCUAGUUGUCGGCAUGCAUGCAUGUCGGUGACGCAGCUACGCAUAAGACGACUCCGCCGUGGGAGGUACGGUCGCGAAGUAGUUAAACUUACGAAAGUAAGUUAGACGGCGNGAGACGNGCCGACGGCGACGACGAGGGAGGAGG